AAUAUUCUUAAUGCGGGACCUAAAAAGGGUUUGUCUUACACUUGGAAAAGAAUUGUAGCGGGUAUUCAAACCUUCAAGAGGGGAUGCAUUUGGCGAGUUGCUACUGGUUCACAAAUUAACAUCUGGCAAGACUCAUGGAUCCCAACAAGUGCAUCUCAGAAGGUGAUCACCCCUAGAGGUGUAACAAUGUUGUCGAAAGUUGAAGAGCUUAUAGACCCACGUUUGGGACAAUGGGACGAGGAUCUGAUUCACGAUAAUUUUUCCCGUGUUGAUGUUAAGAGAAUCCUGCAAAUUCCGCUGAAUGUUCAGGUCACCGAGGAUUUCGUUGCAUGGAAUUUCAUACGGUCCGGCACCUUUUCUGUUCGGUCAGCAUAUCAUAGAGAGUUUGAACACCAAUUCAGAUACAUGUUGGUUCGCUCGGAUGGUCAUGGGAGUGUGAACAUCAACCUUGUUUGGAAGGAACUUUGGCUGUUGCGAAUCCUUGGAAAGGUGAAACAUUUUGCAUGGAAGGUUUUCCACGGUGUUCUUCCCUGCUACAAAGUAUUAGCGGCUCGACAUGUCCCUUGCUCGCCCCAAUGCCCUAUAUGCAAGAUUAGAGUUGAAGAUGUGCAACACAUUUUGUUUCGAUGCCAGCGCGCUGAGGAUGUUUGGAAUCAACUUGGAUUAUUAGAAGCUAGUGAUAGAGCAGUUCUGGAAGAUAGAUUGGGAUCUGUUACCAUGGAAAUUCUGUGUAAACUAAGCAUAGUAUCAAGCGAACUCCCGAUGGCGAAACUCACUCUCAUAACAGCCUGGUACAUUUGGUGGAAACGACGUCAGAUGGUGAUCCAAACUCCUGAAAGAACUGCACUAUCUAUCAGGGUUUUGGCUGCAAAUUAUAUUAAGUCAGUGACACCCACGUUCCUAUAUAUCUGGAAAUUUGAUCACACGUGGAAAAAGCCUUGCCAUGGGUUUGAUAAAAAAAUUCUCGAAUACGCACGAGUGUGCGUAUCAUGCAUUAAAGAAGGAGGGGGAAAGCUCCCCAAAGUCACAAACUUUACAUCAUAUGUAGUAUGUACAAGCGGUCAAGCCGCAUCCACCUCAUAUUCGUAG
rnacentral:rRNA from 1 species